UUACUUAUGUGUUUGUUUUUCCUUUGUUUGCUGGCAGGUCGCCCCUGUGCCCAGGAUCUGAGGAAAAGGGCAGAGAAUGAACAUGGAAUACUUCCGAGGCUUGGGUGACCCACAUUUUGACUCCUCCCCUGGGGCAAGAAGAACCACAUUACCUUCCCAUUCAGGAUAUUCAGCCUAGAAGCCUGGGUGCCUUUGAGUGUGCCCUCACGCUCCUCAGAGGACAUUCAGCCUUCUCGAUAUUCUCGUCUGUCCACGGACUGUGGAAGAUUCCAGAGUGCAUGUCUGGUGUAUGGAAGCUUUGAGCAAUUUGUCCAGGAUUAUUUCUUGGUCAGAGUCCGCCCCCUGAAGUUUGAGAAAGCCAUGCUCACUGGGAGAUGCCCACGGUGAAACUAAGAACACAAGACGCAGAUGCUUUACCUUCUUCAGUUCCUCCAGCUGAGAAUGCACACACGUCUCCCUGAGGAUCCGCCACCCAGAAGGCUGGCACCUGGCUGUAAUGUUCCCAGUGUAGCCACUGCUACAGGGAAGAAUAUACUCAUCAUUCAUGGACCCAAAUCCAAAGACAAUGCUGUUACACUGGGCUGGGAGGAAAAAUGGAAACAAAAAGAAAAAAUGUGUCAAUAUCCUGGCACUUUGUACAAAGCAUAUGGCAGUGCUGUAGAAUUCAUGUUUCCAGAGACAAAACCCAUACAAAAUUCAGGAGUAGAAAUUGGUCCUUGAUGCUCAGCUUCAUCCCUCUCAACGCCCUUUCUCCUUUCUGAUGCCCUCCCCAAGGCCAGCCCCUUGCCCUCCAGUUGUCUGAACUGUGCCAACAGUCUUGCUUUUAGUGAGCCAUAAACUAAUAAGCACCAGGUGAAAAAAAGACAGGGUGUGAUCACUCUUGGGAAAGAGCUUCAUUCUGUAAGGAAAUGUCAGAAAAUCAGAAAAUCUGCAAGAAGCUAUGGAACAUAGCAGUAAUGAUAUGGUAACAAAUUGGACAGCUGCCAUUUUAGAGUGACAUACCCAACUUUUUGCCCUUUGUUAAAGCUUUUCACGUUGUGACCAGCCACUAGUUACACCCACAGCUGGCCCUCGGUAGUAUAUUUUGACUGUGAUUGGGACCAGGAGAAGGAAACUGUGCAGGGAAGAUCCUCCAGGAUUCUGAGGCCACCUGAAGCAGCAGCUCAUACUCCUGGACUGGGCCUAAAGAGAGGAAGAUAGUCAAGAGCCUCCUUUUUCAGUCUGGAAGAGAAAUAUUGCCAAGGAAGCCACCAGGAAGUGUUCAUCACAUGUCAUCUGGGGGUCAUGGGCUUUGCCAUGGUGCUUGUUACUGACUUCUGCUCUGCCAAUCAUUAAGUAAAAAUGAGCAUCUGGAGGAAAACUUGCAGAUAGCCUCAUAUGUGUCUGAUCUAUGUUUAUUCUCCCAAUUUGACAGGCCAGGGGCUCCCACUCUCCCUGACCCAUCCUGGCAUCAAUCACCCUCCUGACCUUACAUAGCUCCUCAGGAUGUAUCCAAGGUCAAGAUUCAGGCAUCAAGACCCAAGGGAGAAGAGGCUGGAACCUGUCCCAGGUCUUGGGAGCCACACCAAGUAGAGAAAGCUAACGGGACUCUUGCUCCCACUGCCCAAGCAGAAUGACUAAGAAGAGGAACCCUCAACACAGGAAAAAUUCAGAGACCCGGCAAGCCAGAAAGGACUCGCUAGACAUAUUCAGGGUAUUAAAUGAAAAGAACAUGCAGCCAAGAAUACUUUGUCUGAAAAGGCUGUCAUUUAGAAUGGAUGAAGAGAUAAAGAGCUUCCAAGACUGGCAAAAACUUAAAGAAUAUAUGACCACUAAGUCAGCCCCACAAGAAAUAUUAAGGGAGAUUCUAUAAAAGGAGAAAGACCCCAAGAGUGAUAUAGAACAGAAAUUUACAGAGACAAUCUAUAGAAACAACGACCUCACAGGCAACACGAUGACCAUAAAAUCAUAUGUUUCAAUAAUCACUCUCAACAUGAAUAGCCUAAGUGCUACCAUAAAACGUCACAGGGUUGCAGAUCAGAUAAAAAGACGGGACCCAUCCAUAUGCUGUCUACAAGAGACUCAUUUUGAACCUAAAGUUACACCCAGAUUGAAAUUGAAGGGAUGGAGAACUAUCUUUCAUGUCAACGGACCUCAAAAGAAAGCUGUGGUAGCAAUUUGCAUAUCAGAUAAAUUAGAUUUUAAGCUAAAGACUGUAGUUAGAGAUACAGAAGGACACUAUAUCAUUCUUAAAGGUAUAUCCAAGAACUAGAUCUAACAAUUGUAAAUAUCUAUGCCCCCAGCAUGGGAGCAGCCAACCACAGAUGCCAACUGUUAACCAAAAUAAAGAAACACAUUGAUAAUAAUACAUUAAUUGUAGGAGAACUUAACACUCUAUUCUCAGCAAUAGAUCAUCUAAGCAGAAAAUCAACAAAGAAACAGAACUUUGA